GCACAGCAGGGGCACUUCGGUUCCGCGAAAGCGGAUGAAAAGGGAACCCGGUGCGAUGCGUGCAUUCAUUCCGGGGCUGCCCCCGCAACUGUGAGCGGCGAGUGACGGCUGACUGAGCCACUGGGGAGACCCGGGAAGGCCAGCCGGAACCAGGACCCGCGAGCCAGGAGACCUGCCGAGGCGCUCAUCCUUUCU
rnacentral:ncRNA from 16 species